rnacentral:lncRNA from 1 species
CUGUCAUCUAGCAGAUCUCAUCAGGAAAAUUCCAGAUGUCCAGGCAGCCAGGCUUCAGUGGAAGUCUGUGACCAGUUUACAGUUCUGAAUCACUCUCCUUCUGGCUGCCAAAGAGCUCCCUCAACCCAGUAUCAUGUGAUGUCUGCUCCUGACCCAACCGCAAGUCGGUGUUGGACCUCUAGGUGAACAGGGUCAUAUCUCCCCACGUAAAUCUGAGUUCUGAUCCCUACUGUAGUGGGGAGGCCCUUCCAGAACCCUGCUUAUCUUCCCUUGGCUCUGGGUUAGUAGCCUGGAAAAGUCUUCCCCUCCUGGGUACUCAGGUCUUAGAGGAGCACUCUAGUUUAUGGAGAUAUCAAAGGCCAAGAAUCUGGACAAGUUACUGCCCUAGGAAUAGCUACCUGCGGGGAAAUACCCUGGAAGAAACUUGCCCUGGAAAAGUGACUCAGAAGGGGAUGCAGGGGUCUUUUCAACAAGGGUAAAUGUCUCAUCAGAGGAAAUGGGACAAACAAACCAUCCUGGGCCUGAGGAACUCCAGACACGCGGUAAACGCGAGACAGCACGAGAGCCAGAUAAUUGUAGUGCCCGGCUAGGCAGUCCCGAAGCUGAGCACAUCGCGCAAGAUCAAAGAGCGCAAGAUCGGCACAAGCUCCACCCCGGAAAGGCCCAUCGGCACACAAACCCACCUUGCUCAGCUGCCUAGCUCCGCCCCGCCCCUCCUCGCCCCGCCCGCCCCGCCCCAUCGCAGCUCCACUCCGCCCCGACUCCGUACCGCCCUGUCCCAG